rnacentral:rRNA from 1 species
GAUGAACGCUGGCGGCGCGCCUAACACAUGCAAGUCGAACGAUUAAAGCACCUUCGGGUGUGUAUAAAGUGGCGAACGGCUGAGUAACACGUGGGCAACCUGCCCCUUUCAUUGGGAUAGCCACGGGAAACCGUGGAUAAUACCGAAUACUUCGAGACUUCCUCAUUGAAGACUCGAGAAAGCUCCGGCGGAGAGGGAUGGGCCCGCGGCCUGUUAGCUUGUUGGUGGGGUAACGGCCUACCAAGGCAAUGAUGGGUAGCUGGGUUGAGAGACCGACCAGCCAGAUUGGGACUGAGACACGGCCCAGACUCCUACGGGAGGCAGCAGUGGGGAAUCUUGCACAAUGGGCGAAAGCCUGAUGCAGCGACGCCGCGUGCGGGAUGAAGGCCUUCGGGUUGUAAACCGCUUUCAGCAGGGACGAGGCGAAAGUGACGGUACCUGCAGAAGAAGCCCCGGCUAACUACGUG